rnacentral:tRNA from 1 species
AAAAUUUUAGUUUAAAUAAAAUAUUUCUUUUACACUGAAAAGAUUAAAUUUUUAAAUUUAAAAUUUUA